GUUGUUGUGUUCGUCUGGUCGGCACUCGUUCGCGGAGCGCCUGGCCUCGCUCGACGCCUCCGUCAGGUGUAGUUGAGGCUACGAGAGACAGAAGUAUAUUUUCAUUGUUUAUAAGAGGGGCUACAGGGUCGUGACGAGCAGGAUGUGCAACCAUUCUAUAAAACAGCCACCCUGUUCGAAAGUCAUAUUCUGCAAGACCCGCGUUGCAGUCAUAUUGCAAAGUAGAGGAAAUAUCUUGAGGUUUCCGGCCGAUCACGAGAUCCCUCCAGCUCGUCCGCCGCCGCCAGCCAUGCAGGCCGCCGCGUCGUGGCCGGCCUUCACUUCGCCGGCCUUGGUUCCAGGGUGCUACUACAUCUUGCUACCGCGAUACUGAUGUGCUUCGCAAAUUUGCACUUCUGGGUGUUGCAUUGUAUCACAUAACUGUAAAAAAAAAAAAGAGAAGAAAAAUAGUUAUUUUGUCUUUAGCAGUGGCGAAUCUAGUAAGGACAAUAUUGAUAAUACUGAGGAAAACUUUAGAAUAUAAAAAAGUACAAUUUUUCUUUGUAGAUUACAGUCCCUCGCCAUGACUUUGAAUUUUACCAUAUUCGCUCCAAAAUGCUAUCUUUGCU